UACGUAGGGUCCGAGCGUUGUCCGGAAUUACUGGGCGUAAAGAGCUCGUAGGUGGUUUGUCGCGUUGUUCGUGAAAACUCACAGCUCAACUGUGGGCGUGCGGGCGAUACGGGCAGACUGGAGUACUGCAGGGGAGACUGGAAUUCCUGGUGUAGCGGUGGAAUGCGCAGAUAUCAGGAGGAACACCGGUGGCGAAGGCGGCUUUCUGGACAGGUACUGACGCUGAGACGCGAAAGCGUGGGGAGCAAACAGG
rnacentral:rRNA from 1 species